AUACAUCGAUUUACCGUAAACCAGAAAGUAUUGCCAUUUCAUUUGCCGAAGUUCUUGAAAAUUUUGCCGGAAACUUGUUGAACAUUUCGCUGAAUUUAUCAGCUGUUGAGUUCUCGGUAACAUUUGAUGUUCUUCCAGGUUACGUUUGAUCUCGUUGUUUUCAAAUGCCAGCGUGAAGGGGGAGAGAACGUACUAUGCCGAGCCGUGUUUUGAUGUUCCUGUUUAAUAUGGCCCCUGGGUAGUUCUAGGCAGUCAUGCAGAACUCCUGGAUGACUGCUUCUGCCCGGAGAGGUGGAAGCUACAGAGACUGGUCUUAUUGGCGAAGGCUGGGAAAUCACCAGGGAAAGCAUUGGAUUAUAGGCCUAUAUGUCUGCUGGACACUGCGGCCAAGCAGCUUGAGAGAAUUAUCUUCAAUUAUCUUGAGAUUGGCGAAGUAAACGGUCUCGUUAGUAAUCAGUUCGGCUUCCGGAAAGCGCCAGCUGGGACGCUUAGGAGCAUCCACAUACCGGUGUCAUUGUACAAAUCGAAACGAGCUGAAUGGUUGAUACAUUUUGGAGGCUCUCGAGAUCUGCCAUUCACACCCCAUAACCUGACUGAGACUAGGCAUUUUUAACGAAGGAUGACACAUAGUGAAAUAUAUUGGUUAUCUACACUUUAUUUUUCACCAUUGUACAUUGAUUAAUUGGAGUUUAAUUACGAUUAGUGCAGUAUUCAAUAAAUUCUAUUGUUCACAAAUAAAUGUACAGAAAGCGUUCACCUUUGGCGGACAGGUAUUAAGAAUUUUUUCCCUAAAAUAGAUAAAAUGUUUCAAACAAAUAACAGAAACGGCAUUUACAUAGGAUUGUGUAUGGCGUGUUGAAUUAGAGUUUUAAAGCCUGAGGGAAACUGUAAUUUCUUCUUCGAUUGCACUCGAAACAGCAACGGU